CUGAGUUGCAGACGGAGUAUUUUAAUUGAAGUUCAGUUUAUGAACAUUGAGAACAUAAUUCUCAUAGCAAUUGGUCCUUCGAGCCGGAUCCAAAAAUCUGUCCCUGUCUUCCUAAGGUAACACACCGAAAACCGUGCACGGGCGGGUCAUCGACCCGUAAAUUAAAGACCUGUCCCCUGAAAUUGGGGUUCCAUAACAUAUAUCUAAGAUCGACAGAGACGGUGACGGGAUCCAACCUACAUUGCUUUUCCCAGCCUAGAAGACGAAGGCUACAUUCAUAUCAGAUACAGUGAGAAAGAAUGUCCUGCAAGGAGCAUUUGACAGAGCUGAAUUUCAGUGUUUGUUGCCCUCUACAGGACAGUCUGGGGAACUACAGGACUUCUCAUUCCUCAUCAACAAACACAACAUUCCUACAGCUCAUUAACCAGGUGAUGAUUCCAGGCCUCUGUUCUGUCUUAGUUUUACUAUUACUAAACCUGUGGCCAGAGUUCAUUCUUCUCAUAUCGGUCUUGGCCCAGGAACUUAUGGCGUCAAAACAGCCUCUAAAGUCCAUCACUGAGCAAGCGAACACUGAGUGGAGAGCAGGGUCCUGCGGGUAGAGAAUGAGUGCCACUAGUGCACAGACCAGUCGAGAGCACAGAAUGUGGUCCAGCAAGCAGAGGAUGGGUCUCACGAGCGCACAGACAGCAGGGUCGAGAGGAACAUCGUUGCUGCAAGCAAAAUAUUAAUUUGAGCAGGGAUUUCAUAAGCUUAAAUAAAUACCAUUAAUG